rnacentral:rRNA from 1 species
AUGCCGGCGGGGCACGGGCUGCGGUCGCGGACGCGCGACCUGUUCGCGCGGCCCUUCCGUAAGAAGGGGUACAUCCCGCUCACCACCUACCUGCGCACCUACAAGGUCGGGGAGCACGUCGACGUCAAGGUGAACGGCGCCGUCCACAAGGGCAUGCCGCACAAGUUCUACCACGGCCGCACCGGCCGCGUCUGGAACGUCACCAAGCGCGCCAUCGGCGUCGAGAUCAACAAGCAGGUCGGCAACAGGAUCAUCAAGAAGAGGAUCCAUGUGCGUGUGGAGCACGUGCAGCCAUCCAGGUGCAACGAGGAGUUCCUCCAGAGGAAACUCAACAAUGACAAGCUGAAGGCGGAGGCCAAGGCGCGUGGCGAGGUCAUCAGCACGAAGAGGCAGCCAGCAGGGCCCAAGCCUGGGUUCAUGGUGGAGGGCACCACCAUCGAGACGGUCACCCCCAUCCCGUACGACGUCGUCAACGAUCUCAAGGGUGGUUACUAG